rnacentral:tRNA from 1 species
GCCGGUUUAGCUCAGCUGGCCAGAGCAUCUGAUUUGUAAUCAGAGGGUCGGGGGUUCGAAUCCCUCAACCGGCACCA